AUUGAACGCUGGCGGCAUGCUUUACACAUGCAAGUCGAGCGGCAGCGCGGGGGCAACCCUGGCGGCGAGCGGCGAACGGGGGAGUAAUGCAUCGGAACGUAUCCUCGAGUGGGGGAUAACCCAGCGAAAGUUGGGCUAAUAACGCCUGAGCUCUGAGGAGGAAAGCGGGGGACCUGCGAGGGGCUCGCGCUGGAGGAGCGGCCGAGGUCGGAUUAGCUAGUUGGUGGGGUAAAGGGUUACCAAGGCGACGAUCGGUAGCUGGUGUGAGAGGAUGGUAAGCCACACUAGGAGGUGGACGGGCCCCAGAGUCCUAAGGGAGGCAGCAGUGGGGAAUUUUGGACAAUGGGGGCAACCCUGAUACAGCCAUGCCGAGUGAGUGAAGAAGGCCCUCGGGUUGGAAAGAUCGUUCGGACGGAACGAAAUGGGCGGGACUAAGACGCCUGUCUGAUGACGGUACCGUAAGAAGAAGCACCGGCUAACUACGUG
rnacentral:rRNA from 1 species